rnacentral:rRNA from 1 species
UACGAAGGGGGGCUAGCGUUGCUCGGAAUUACUGGGCGUAAAGGGCGCGUAGGCGGAUACUUAAGUCGGGGGUGAAAGCCCAGGGCUCAACCCUGGAAUAGCCUUCGAUACUGGGUAUCUUGAGUUCGGGAGAGGUGAGUGGAACUCCGAGUGUAGAGGUGAAAUUCGUAGAUAUUCGGAAGAACACCAGUGGCGAAGGCGACUCACUGGCCCGAUACUGACGCUGAGGCGCGAAAGCGUGGGGAGCAAACAGG